rnacentral:tRNA from 2 species
GGGCUGGUAGCUCAGUCGGUAGAGCAGCGGACUUUUAAUCCGUUGGUCGCGAGUUCGAAUCUCGCCCAGCCCACCA